rnacentral:rRNA from 1 species
GACGAACGCUGGCGGCGUGCCUAAUACAUGCCAGUUGAGCGCUGAAGGUUGGUACUUGUACCAACUGGAUGAGCAGCGAACGGGUGAGUAACGCGUGGGGAAUCUGCCUUUGAGCGGGGGACAACAUUUGGAAACGAAUGCUAAUACCGCAUAAAAACUUUAAACACAAGUUUUAAGUUUGAAAGAUGCAAUUGCAUCACUCAAAGAUGAUCCCGCGUUGUAUUAGCUAGUUGGUGAGAUAAAGGCUCACCAAGGCGAUGAUACAUAGCCGACCUGAGAGGGUGAUCGGCCACAUUGGGACUGAGACACGGCCCAAACUCCUACGGGAGGCAGCAGUAGGGAAUCUUCGGCAAUGGACGAAAGUCUGACCGAGCAACGCCGCGUGAGUGAAGAAGGUUUUCGGAUCGUAAAACUCUGUUGGUAGAGAAGAACGUUGGUGAGAGUGGAAAGCUCAUCAAGUGACGGUAACUACCCAGAAAGGGACGGCUAACUACGUG